GACGGGGGAUGCAAGUGUUAUCCGGAAUUACUGGGCGUAAAGCGUGCGCAGGCGGCUUUGCAAGACAGAUGUGAAAUCCCCGGGCUUAACCUGGGAACUGCAUUUGUGACUGCAUGGCUGGAGUGCGGCAGAGGGGGAUGGAAUUCCGCGUGUAGCAGUGAAAUGCGUAGAUAUGCGGAGGAACACCGAUGGCGAAGGCAAUCCCCUGGGCCUGCACUGACGCUCAUGCACGAAAGCGUGGGGAGCAAACAGG
rnacentral:rRNA from 1 species